rnacentral:rRNA from 1 species
AUACGUAGGGGACGAGCGUUGUCCGGAAUUACUGGGCGUAAAGGGCGCGCAGGCGGAUAUUUAAGUCAGCUGUAAAAGGCAUGAGCUCAACUCAUGUAUGCGGUUGAAACUGGGUAUCUAGAGUGCUGGAGAGGUAGGCGGAAUUCCCGGGGUAGGGGUGAAAUGCGUAGAUAUCGGGAAGAACACCAGUGGCGAAGGCGGCUUACUGGCCAGCAACUGACGCUGAGGCGCGAAAGCCAGGGGAGCGAACGGGAUUAGAUACCCCGGUAGUCCUGGCCGUAAACGAUGAAUGCUAGGUGUGGGUGUCGAGAGGCAUCCGUGCCGGAGUUAACGCGAUAAGCAUUCCGCCUGGGGAGUACGAUCGCAAGAUUGAAACUCAAAUGAAUUGACGGGG